rnacentral:lncRNA from 1 species
GUUCGAGAUAGCGGGAUUCAACUCAAAUUUUCUGUUUUAUGCGUCUAAUGCUGUUGGAGUGUUGCCGUUCCAACUACCCAAACUCACUAUUGAACGGGCGGUGAGGGGUUGAAUUGUGCAAGAACUUUUGUCAUAAAUUGUAGACGAAAUCAGAGUUUCGACUGCGCAUCCAUAUGACUCGUUCUGCACUGGAAAUAAGUUGGGGACUGGAAAAAUUAGAAUAUCCAUAUCAGAGUAUUGAACUUUUCAUCAUUAUUUGUGUUUCACUUAUAGCCACAAUUUUUAUACUAGCAUAUUUUGGCUAUUGUGUAUAAAGCAAAAUAAAGAAAGGUACACCUAAGGGAAAAUAUUUUCUAAUUUAAAGCGAAUCAACCGCGUGUGGAAACUAAUUGAAAUGAUGAUUGAACUGUUCAAUACAUUGAUAUAUAUGCAUAUUCUUCCAGUCUCAGCUAGCGCAGAACUAUUCUCGUCCUCACAGCCAUUUUCACUCGGUCACUCGUUGAAAAUUAGGCUCUGGUUAGACGACCAAAUGGAGAGAUCUGAUUGGCUUCUCAGAGAAUUGCUAUUCCCCAGAAGUUGAUCAGUUUUCGCCAGGCAAAAUUAUUCUAUCAAAAUAUGUCAACACAAAUACGUUUCUUUGUAACACUACUUCUCUGUGAAAAUUGUUACGGGUGCUAAAGCGUCUCAAUUUAAGAGUAUGCGCUUUUGAAACUACUGCAAGUUUUCUUGCACUUCCGGUUCCGUGUACCUAGGGCCUAUGAAGGUCGCGCGCGGCUGAGAGACCCUGGAAACGAGGAUGGCGCAGAACGCAUCAUCUGGAUGCGCAGUCGAAACUGCGAUUUCGUCUAUUGGAUAGUGAAUAGUUGACCUGCAGCACGUAAACGAUUAUAUUUAGUUAUGCAAAUUUGUAUUCGAAAAAUCUAAAAUCUGAUUGAUUACAUAUGUGAAUAUACAAUGCUAAUAGCAGCCUUAUAUGCGGAUUAUUUGUUAUGAUGGACGGAAGCAGGGCCAUUUUGGCAAAACAUUGCUGUGUGGACAUGUCGAAAAUGUUUACAACCAACCGGUUUACAACCAACGAGGUUGAGAUGAUAUAUGUUUUGCUAUAUCUUACAUUGGAACCAUUUUUUCAAUCCUUGAUUUUUCAAUUCGGCCGAGCCAGAUAUAUAAAAAAUUAACGUAUAGCUGUACGAUUUGGAUAUUAAGCUAUGUCAAUGUCUAUAGUUUUCGCAGUGUGCAAUGGGGUCAUUCGUUUCCGUGCUUAGAUACAGGUCAGGUACAGGUGGGUUUCAGGCAAUCCCAGCAGACGCCAACUUCAAAUGAAAUUCUUUUGUUUAAAUGCCUUCCAUGUACACUGAACUGGAGCAUGAUGAAAGCCACCUAUUAACGCCGUUUUCCACUUCAACCGUAUCGAACCAAAGCUUAGCGUAUUUCUUUGUUUCCUGAGCAUUAGAGUGAAACUAAUCACUUCGACACAAAAGUGAAUGCUACGAUACGGUUGUAGCGAAAAACAGGCUUUAGAACUAUGAUUCGGACAUGUGUAAAUUACUUUGAAUAUAAUAUAAUGUGGACUUAAUACUUUAGAUGUGCAAAUAUGUAAUCAUUUUGAACUUUGAUAGUAAAAUUAUUUUGACAUAUUCCAUAAUAUGAAUUUCUUGAUAUGCAGUGAAAGGUGCCAGAUCUUUUUGGCAUACAAACACGAGUAGAAUUAUGGGUUGUGAUUC